AUUGAACGCUGGCGGCAGGCCUAACACAUGCAAGUCGAGCGGAGCGGCGGACGGGUGAGUAAUGCCUAGGAAUCUGCCUGGUAGUGGGGGUAACGUCCGGAAACGGGAGCUUAUAACGCAUACCAUUAGAUGAGCCCAGGGCGGAUUUGCUAGUUGGUGGGGGAAAGGCCUACCAAGGCGACGAUCCGUAACUGGUCUGAGAGGAUGAUCAGUCACACUGGAACUGAGACACGGUCCAGACUCCUACGGGAGGCAGCAGUGGGGAAUAUUGGACAAUGGGCGAAAGCCUGAUCCAGCCAUGCCGCGUGUGUGAAGAAGGUCUUCGGAUUGUAAAGCACUUUAAGUUGGGAGGCGUUACCAACAGAAUAAGCACCGGCUAACUUCGUGCCAGCAGCCGCGGUAAUUC
rnacentral:rRNA from 1 species